AAUAAACGCUGGCGGCGUGCCUAACACAUGCAAGUCGAGCGAGAAAGCUCCUUCGGGAGUUAGUAAAGCGGCGAACGGGUGAGCAACACGUGAGAAUCUACCCUUUAGUGAAGAAUACCCUCGAGAAAUCGAGGCUAAUACUGCAUACGUCCCUUCGGGGAGAAAGAUGGCCUCUUUGCUAUCGCUAAAGGAUGAGCUUGCGUACUAUUAGCUAGUUGGCGGGGUAAAGGCCCACAAGGCAAUGAUGGUUAACCGGCCUGAGAGGGUGUACGGUCACACUGGAACUUAGACACGGUCCAGACUCCUACGGGAGGCAGCAGUGAGGAAUCUUGCGCAAUGGGCGAAAGCCUGACGCAGCGACGCCGCGUGGAGGAUGACGGUUUUCGGAUUGUAAACUCCUGUUAAGCGGGAAGAAAGCCUUGUUUCUAAUACAAGCAAGGUAUGACGGUACCGCUAGAGAAAGCACCGGCUAACUUCGUGCCAGCAGCCGCGGUAAAGUGCGCG
rnacentral:rRNA from 1 species